UGACUCAGCAGCCUGUGCUGAUAGCCCUGCUCCUGCCUGCCCUCCCACUCCACAGCCCUGCUGCUAGCUGUCCCCUCCGUGUGGCCUGGGUCCUAACAGUGGGUGCUCCAGGGCCGGGCAAAUGACACCAUCUGGACCCUGGAAACAGCACAUGUUUGGUGCAGUCACCCUCCCCCAAGCCAGCAUCUUAAGCAAAGUCUCCUCCCCCUUUAAAUGAGCCUCCUUCAUGUUUUCCUUUCUUCUGGUCCGCUUGGUUUUCAUGUUCCUCUCUCUGCUCUCUUUGUCCUGCUGAGCAGACAGCAAACCUGCAGGUUCUGUGAUCCUGCUGCUCAGCUUUAAAACAAAAAACAAAAACAAAACCAUGUUGCAAUUUGUGAACUUUCUCUCCUGGAAGGCAUGAACCAUCAGCUUUCCUGAAGGUAGCUACUGCAAAGCACUGGUCUUACAGAAGAAAAGGACUGAUGAGGGAAAGAGAAAGGGACACAGACAAAGGAAGGAAGGGAAGCAUUCAGAAGGAGGGAGAGAGGCCAGCCGGCCCCCAGGUUGAACCACAUACUCAGCCUUUAAAAAACUGGGCUUCUUUAACAUGGAUGCAAGUACCAGCCAAGGUAGUUCCACUGCAGAUUCACCACCGAGAUGAAGAUGGCUAGACAUUUUUCAAAUGAGAGUAACUGGGCCUGUACUACAAGACGUAUUCAGGCUAUUAAGAUCUCCAUGCCCUGCCAUUCCCUCUGCCUGGAAUGUUCUUUCUCCAGUACUUUGUAUUCUGAUGGUUCUCGACCCUAGCUUCAAACCCCAAACCCCUGCUUCUAGAUAACAGCCUCACAACAGAUAAUUCAGGGGCCCACGUAUUUACAAGCCUGGGAGGUGAUCCUGAAAGCUUUGCAGGUAUAUUCUUCUUUGGCUCCACCCACGCUCCAGUGAGCACAGCUGCAUCUGCUCAGUUAUGCUCUCUUCUUCCAGACACUGCCAAAAAUGCUGAGAUACACAAGAUGCCAGGCCUUGAGAAUCAAUGACAGAUCCACAGCUGAACUGCUUGAAGGCAGGGCUUGACCAAGUAUCUAGUGUGGCAACUCUUCCAAUUUUCCCACUUAUAGCAUGUUUUCAUUUUUCAAAUUUCAGAAUUUAUUAUAUCCCUCCCCUUUCUCUCUCUCUCUCUCUCUCUGUCUCUCUCUGUGUGUGUGUGUGUGUGUGUGUCUCCCCUCUCUGUCUCCCUCCUCCACCACCACCUUAAGAUUCAGACAUGUGCCUACUGAACACAAAUCUGAAUGGAAGUCUCCUCUUUGAACUAGAAUUGCCCAAGACGAGGGCCCCAUUUACUAGGUUAGCUUGUUCUCUGGUUUCCUUUUGGUUAAGGGUGAGUUUUCUCCCAAGAAGCCCUUAUGCAAACUGAUGUCUGGUUGGCAAGCUCAAUACAGACAUACCCAGACAUGCCAUACCCCCAUGUGUGGGCACAGCUGAUACCCACUUGAUCCCAGUAAAACAUUCGUAAUCCCUUUCAUGCUGUCAUUGCUUUCGCCCAACAAUUCCACCAUAGAGAGUGAAGAUAAGAUUUUUUUUUAUUGACCAGGGCCCUUGGGUGCUUCUUGAGUGUGGCUUUCAGGGACAAUGACAUCGCAUGUUAAAUAACUCUUUGCUAAAGAGCUCUGAGUACAAACAAAUGUUAUCCUCUAACAUACCCUAAGAACAAAGUGAGUAGGUUCUAUCCCUGUCCUACGCUUUGGCCUCCUGUCUGAGGAUCUGUCCCCCCCACUGCAUCCCCAUCUCAUCCAUCCCCAGAAUUGACUGGUUUAGUCCUGUUGGGUCCCAAGUUACUUGGGGGCAGGCAGAGCUGUCUUUGGCACAAAAGUGGAAGCAAGUCCACAUGGAUCAUCUGGGCCCCAGCCAGUGUCUCAAGGUAUAGCCACUGGAUCCUUAGAUUAACCACCAUUUGGGUUCUUGGCUAGUUUCUUGGCUGUAGAGGAAGAUUAUUCUACUUGCCUUGGGCCAUUUCUUCAUUCCCUACUUCUGAUUUUUAUGGUAGGCCCAGGGUGCAAAUAGCACAGUUUUCAAGCUGUUCUUUCUUUGGGGGGAAUCUCUGCCUGCAUUGCACAUAACCUCGGGGUCCUGCUCUCCCCUGGGCAAUAGCAAGCACUUAAUUUAUGCUGAACCCAUUGGACCCUUUCCCUCUCUGGAUUUUGAAUCUUGAGCAGAAUGAUCCAGGAAUGAAAGUGAUGACCUUAUAGUACAGCUACUCCAUCCAAGCUUCCUAAAAGGACUGCUAAUUCCUACUCCCUAGAUCCCUGAGAUGCCCUUUUUCCUCUUUCCAAAAGCUGACCUAUUCAGCUUUCUUUACAAUUCUGUGACUUUUCUUAUAGUCUUCCAAUAAAUCCCUUUUUGCUUAAGUUAGCCUAAGUCUGUCUCUUAGACACCAAAGAGUACUACUGGAUAGGGAUGGCCCUUUCACCAUCGUUCUCUGCCACCUGGGUAUCCUUUCCCCAAAGCUGUUAAUUUUAAAGCCAGGAAGCUCAAGAUCCUCCCCCAACCCCCGCCCCCCGCCAUAUUCCUACAAGAUCCAGGCAAACUUUGGCUUCUGAUUCCUUGCACCUUCUUUCAGAAAGUGGCCAUUCUCAGUUUAAAUAACAAAAAUCCUCCAUCCGUGAUCCCUUUUAAAUAACACUGCAUUUAUGAGGCAGGGUUCAACAGAAUGGAAAACAGAACCAUUCAAAGUAUUGAAAACAGGCAAUUUAAUGCUGAGAUUUGGGUUUCCAAGUGACAGAAGAGCUGAUAAGCCAAACUGAAGAUGGUGAAGCAACUCAGAGCUUAGCAAUAGCAGAAACCCCUACCAGCCCUAGGCUGUAAGGACAAAAGGAGGUGAUGUUACUGGUGCUCAGGGUUUAGGGUCACUGGAGCAAACUGGGACCAUGGUAAGCACAUCUGAUGAGAGCUGGAGUCAAGAAGAAGAUGCAGCAACUGCUGAAGAUGCCACCUGUGGCAGAGGCGGGGAGAAACACCUGGGGGUCUCCUUUCUUCCUGUCCUCCCAUCUCUUGCCUCCCAUGUUCAAGCUAGCUGUAACCCAGCUGGCAGAGGAGCCCAAGAAAGGAGGCUGGGAGGUCGGUCUCACUGUGGCACAGAGCAAAGCAGAAGGAGGACAGGGAACGGAUCUGAGAGGACACAGAAUGCGGACAGCACCUGCCUCAUUAUUUAAAUUAUAUUUGCUAAAGUAUUAUUUAAUGUUUAGAAUAAAACGAUUUUAGCAUUUAAAUAAAUAGCAUGUAAUAUGUGUAUAUCAAGGUUCAAAAGGUAUGCACAAUUUUAAUUCCUUAUUAAAUUAUUAAAUUUGUGUGAUAAAUUAUAUAUUAUCACACAAAACACAAUAGGGAAGUCUUCUCGACUAGAAAACGCUUUGUAUCUUGAUCGUGCUCUCUAUGUAAUCAACAGGACUGUUUCUUUCUUUACUGUUUGUGUUGAUGACACUGUCUUGUACUCAUAAAUUGUACAGAAAUUUGUAGGGAGAAGGGAUACAGUAACCCCAAAACUGCAGUUUCACAGGCAGAAGCAAUGCCCAGCACCCCCAAACAUCCAGGCCCCAGAGACACGAGAGAAGAAACAGGGCAGUUACCACUUGGUGACUUACGAACUCAAAUCACCAAGUUCUUCCCCAACCCUUCUGCCUUCUCUUCUGUAAUUUCCUUGCUGCUGAUGACUGUAAGGCAGACUGGCCUCACAUCAGAGCCCAGAGAAGGGGGAGUGACGCAGUGACAUGACAACAGUGCAAUGAUAAAACAGGAUUCUUUUUCUUAUCUAAGGUGUUAGAAUGUGUAUAAAUAAACAUUUUUGUUAGGCGAUUUGUUUUAGUUUAGUUUUGCUAUUUUAACUACACAAGCAAGACAACAUGAUCUGAGCACUCCAUUUUGUCAGUCUGUGCUGUCUGAAAUCGAGGCUCCUGCAUUCUGUCCUAGCUUAUAUAAUUCUGAGAAAGCAGUUCUGGUGCAGUGUUCAGGCU
rnacentral:lncRNA from 1 species